rnacentral:rRNA from 1 species
UACGUAGGUGGCGAGCGUUGUCCGGAUUUACUGGGCGUAAAGAGCCCGCAGGCGGUCCGUUAAGUUUCAGGUGAAAUCUCCCGGCUCAACCGGGAGGGUGCCUGGAAAACUGGCGGACUUGAGGCAGGGAGAGGGAUGUGGAAUUCCCGGUGUAGCAGUGAAAUGCGUAGAUAUCGGGAGGAACACCAGUGGCGAAGGCGGGUCUCUGGACAGUUCCUGACGCUGAGGCACGAAGGCCAGGGGAGCAAACGGG